AAAAAAGCAGGGGCCUGUUGCCGUUUAAUGUGAACGGGUCUCUCGUAAACUUCAGGAGAAAAAACUUGGCAUUGUUAUUGGGUGAACCCCUUGGGCUUCAUGAUCCACGGUUCAGUAAACGAAUGAUACAUUU